UCCACCGAUUGACUAAGGUUUCCAGAGGAAGGCUCGUCCGCUCUGGGUUAGUCGGGUCCUAAGCUGAGGCCGACAGGCGUAGGCGAUGGAUAACAGGUUGAUAUUCCUGUACCACCUAUAAUCGUUUUAAUCGAUGGGGGGACGCAGUAGGAUAGGCGAAGCGUGCGAUUGGAUUGCACGUCUAAGCAGUAAGGCUGAGUAUUAGGCAAAUCCGGUACUCGUUAAGGCUGAGCUGUGAUGGGGAGAAGACAUUGUGUCUUCGAGUCGUUGAUUUCACACUGCCGAGAAAAGCCUCUAGAUAGAAAAUAGGUGCCCGUACCGCAAACCGACACAGGUAGUCAAGAUGAGAAUUCUAAGGUGAGCGAGCGAACUCUCGUUAAGGAACUCGGCAAAAUGACCCCGUAACUUCGGGAGAAGGGGUGCUCUUUAGGGUUAACGCCCAGAAGAGCCGCAGUGAAUAGGCCCAAGCGACUGUUUAUCAAAAACACAGGUCUCUGCUAAACCGUAAGGUGAUGUAUAGGGGCUGACGCCUGCCCGGUGCUGGAAGGUUAAGAGGAGUGGUUAGCUUCUGCGAAGCUACGAAUCGAAGCCCCAGUAAACGGCGGCCGUAACUAUAACGGUCCUAAGGUAGCGAAAUUCCUUGUCGGGUAAGUUCCGACCCGCACGAAAGGCGUAACGAUUUGGGCACUGUCUCAACGAGAGACUCGGUGAAAUCAUAGUACCUGUGAAGAUGCAGGUUACCCGCGACAGGACGGAAAGACCCCGUGGAGCUUUACUGUAGCCUGAUAUUGAAAUUCGGCACAGCUUGUACAGGAUAGGUAGGAGCCUUUGAAACGUGAGCGCUAGCUUACGUGGAGGCGCUGGUGGGAUACUACCCUAGCUGUGUUGGCUUUCUAACCCGCACCACUUAUCGUGGUGGGAGACAGUGUCAGGCGGGCAGUUUGACUGGGGCGGUCGCCUCCUAAAAGG
rnacentral:rRNA from 1 species